UACGUAGGUGGCAAGCGUUGUCCGGAAUUACUGGGCGUAAAGAGCGCGCAGGCGGCUGGUCAAGUCCGAUGCGAAAGCUCCCGGCUUAACUGGGAAAUUGCAUCGGAAACUGAUCGGCUUGAAGGUGGGAGAGGGUAGUGGAAUUCCCGGUGUAGUGGUGAAAUGCGUAGAUAUUGGGAAGAACACCAGUGGCGAAGGCGGCUCUCUGGACCGUAACUGACGCUGAGGCGCGAAAGCGUGGGGAGCAAACAGG
rnacentral:rRNA from 1 species